rnacentral:rRNA from 1 species
CCUACGGGUGGCUGCAGUGAGGAAUAUUGGGCAAUGGGCGAAAGUCUGAACCAGCAAAGCAGCGUGAAGGAAGAAGGCUUUAGGGGUGGAAACUUCUUUUAAGAGGGAAGAGAAGAAGACGAUACAUAUUGAAUAAGAUACGGCUAACUACGUGCCAGCAGCCGCGGCAAUACGUAGGUGGCAAGCGUUGUCCGGAUUUACUGGGUGUAAAGGGCGUGCAGCCGGGAAUGCAAGUCAGUUGUGAAAUCCCGCGGCUCAACCGCGGAACUGCAUUUGAAACUGGUUUUCUUGAGUACCGGAGAGGUCAUCGGAAUUCCUUGUGUAGCGGUGAAAUGCGUAGAUAUAACGAAGAACACCAGUGGCGAAGGCGGAUGACUGGACUGCAACUGACGGUGAGGCGCGAAAGCGUGGGGAGCAAACAGGAUUAGAUACCCCUGUAGUC